rnacentral:tRNA from 1 species
AGAUAGACUCUUGUAGGUCUUA